UUUGUUUCUUUACAUGUGGGGAUAUGAGAUUAAGAGGGGGAUUUCUGCAAAAAAACACUAUGAACCACAAACACUAAACAUCCCGCCUCCCGUUGAAUAUGUACAUGCUGUCAGACAACCAAAAACAAAAUUCUCCCACACGUCAAGCGCUCAUCUGCCACCUCCUACUCCACGGGACUACCACCGUGGCCCGGUCUAUCGUCGUAUAGCGCCAAGGGCCCCUUUAGCCGACCAUCUACCCGAGCGUAAAGGGCUACGAAGGCCAUGUAUGCCAGCCCAAUAGGCGCCCCCGUAUCUACUGUCAAACAAGAUGUACAUUUGAUGAAAACUACACCCGAGAAGUGGCGGUCCUGGAUGUCCUCUUGCCGCCAUACAAAAUCGGCGGGGGAGCCAUAUAGGAUGGUCAUCGUGGUAGCAGGCGGUGUAGGCGGUGCAGAAGACAUCUUUUAUUCUGAAGAAAUAACAUAAUAAACAAGUGUGAGUUCUUAAAAUAAAAAAUCAGCAAGUGGGUGGUUAGUCAUAACUUAGAUUUGGCCAAUAACAAGACAAAUAGGUAAACAAAAUCAUCAAUUUAUUGAAUCCACAAAAAUCUAGCUGCAACAAUCACCUAGGGGGAGACGACACUCCGCCCUGAACCUCUCGCACCCAACCUGGCAUCAUGAGGUCCCCUGAGAAGCUAUUUAGCCCUUCUCAGACCUCUGGAGAGAAUACCACUACUCUUCAUCACCCUUCUCCAAGCAUUCCGACACCUGGGGUCUCACAUUGGCUCUUAGCCAACUUCACACAUUCACAAUUCCCUUAUUGCAGCAUUAACAAUCUCAGCAUGUGAACAACCACAAAUAGAUCUAAAUACACAUCAUUAAAUACUUCAAGGUAUAUAGGCACUCUCAUUAAAGGCGAUACAACAACUGCUGCACAUUCUUGGAUCAAAGCAGUUUAUGGACUGAAAUGAGCAGUUUCAAUCACAGACACAGAAUGUAUAUCUAACCUUAUCGAAAUGUUACGAAAUUUCAGUAUGUUAUAGAAGAGACAUAGAUUAACAUUUUCCAUAACGAAACCUAAAUCUAUAUCUCAAUGUAUUAAGAGCAGUAAUUUCGGUAUUCUUUCUAAAAUUCUGCAGUAACUUCCAGAUUUAGUACCUACAGAAGAAAAAUCGUUUCGCUAACCAAACCUUGUUCAUUUGUUCUCAAAUUUUAAUAUGUUAUUCCUAAAGAUGUUUCCUAUAACUUUCAUAAAGGUUUCAAAGUCCAAUUCUAUCUAGAAAAUUAUAGAAAAUUCACGGAAUUAUCAAAGGUCUUGCUGUUCUCUACAAUACAGCUUACUAUUUCAAGAAAACUACUCCUACCUACACGUUUUUGCAUCCAUAUUGUUAUAACUAGAAGUUGAACUCAAUCUAAUGGAUGUUCUUUUCCUUAUCUUCAUCAUUAGAAAUCAAGGCGACACAAACCAAAAGGCUUUUCACUUAUAUUUCUCUAGAAUAGAAACAUUUUGAACCGUUUUCUUCUUUUCUAGCUCAACCAAACCAUUAAUUUCUCUACCAAUCUCUUUUACAGCAUCUUGACGCUCUUCUACAACAUCUAAAAAUAGUCGUAGUGGGUCUUUACUUAUAAAGAAGUAUUCCACAACUCAGUACAAAGCAAAUGUUCACAAUACGCAUGGCCUUCUACCAAGUAAAACAACGUAUCACAGCCUCCUUGCAAAGUUUCUACACCUAUGGUGGCCAUUAAUCCGACAGGCAACUUACAAAAAGCAGACCAUUAGUGAAGCCGAACCAAAAUAGAACCGAAGGAGAGGAAGACCCACUGGAUAGCGUGCGACGGCACCUCAUCCAGUAGCCAAAAGAAUUCCUUAGUCUAGUUUAAAGGAAUUGAACUUGAGUUGCUCACAUUCCAGCUCCCAAACCGAGUUGUGGUUCCCAAAUUUCUCACACCCAACCUUGAAAUCUAUCCCGAUUUCCACAUGCACAACUAGGCACAGGCAUUUCAUGGACCUAGAACACUAAUCAUAGCCGCACUUGCCUGGAUCUUUCACCGGCGGAAGAGGGAGGAAGCGUCAGGCGAGUUGGGUCUUCGCGACUGGCGGCGGAAGCUUCGAAUGGGACGGGGCAGUGAUGACUCCGUUGCUGAACGGAGGUGCUGGGCUACGAGGGGUGGAGAUUGGGUCGGUUUUGGUGGAACGAAGCGAGAACAGGGGAGAAAAGAAGUGGGUAUUUCGGUAGAGAGAGAAAAAAAGAAAACAUAGGUGUGGGUGGGUUCUUUCGGGGCCAAAUGUGCAAUUCCCCCAAAAGGACAGAGAGAAAAAGAAAAAGAAAAAGAAAAGUAAAAUAAAAUACGUGUAGCCUCCCCCCCUUUUUCAACUACACCUGGAUGCUACGUGGGGGAGGAAGAAAAAUUUCCUCUCUCGAUAAUUCUCUUUCCCCCAUGUACAAAGUGAAUCAUCGAUGGAAUUUAAUUUAAUUUAACAAUUUUUUUAAGUAGUCUCAAAUAUGCUCAAUCUAACUAACGAAAUUUUGGGCGUCACAAACCUUCCCCUCUUAGAAAAUUUCGUCCUCGAAAUUUGACUUCAACUAAACAAAUGAGGGUAUCGUUGACGGAUAUCUUCUUCACUUUUCCACGUCACUUCUUCAAGGUCAUGAUGUUGCCAUAACACUUUAACUAGUGGGAUCACUUUCUUCCUCAACACUCGCUCUCUUUGGCUCAAAAUUUGCACGGGCUCUUCUGUAUAAUUCACGUUUUGAUCUACCUCAAUAGUCUCGUAGUCCAACACAUGAGUAGGGUCGGGAUGAUAUUUUCUUAAUAUGGAAACGUGAAACUAUCAUGUAUGCCCGCUAACUUUGGGGGUAAUGCUAAUCUGUAGGCGACUUCCCCAACUCUAUCAAGUAUUUCAAAAGGUCCAAUAAAACGUGGACUCAACUUGCCCUUUUUACCAAAUCUUGACAUGCCUUUAACCGGUGAGACUUUGAGAAAAACUUUAUCUCCCACAAUAAAUUCCAAAGGCCUCCUGCGCUGGUCUGCAUAACUUCUCUGUCGACUUUGGGCAGUCCUUAGUCCCUCCUUAAUAGUUUUCAUAGCGUCUACAGUAACUUGGAUUAAUUCGGGUCCAGUUAAUCUUCGCUCGCCUACUUCAUUCCAACAUACUGGGAUUCUACAAGCUCUCCCGUACAGUGCCUCAAAGGGGGCAGCUCCAAUACUUUGUUGAAAACUAUUAUUGUAUGCAAAUUCCGCUAAAUGUAAUUGUUCAUCCCAGUUUCCUUUAAAAUCCAACAUACAAGCUCUUAGCAUGUCUUCCAAUAUUUGGAUUACCCUUUCAGAUUGUCUGUCACGCCCCGAUCCUCGAGCACGCACACAUCCUUCUACUUGGUUGAUUUUAAAAUGCGAUAUCCCAGGACAAUGUAUCGCCGACCCUUUCAAUUAUUAUGCACAUGCGGAAGCAGUUAUAAAUCCCCAAACAAUAAAACAAUGGGAUAAAAAAACAGGGCCAUAUUUUUCAUAUUGAAACUUAUAACCAAACUUUUAUACAUGACAUAAACUAGAGUAAUUCACAACUCUUCAUAACUUUUUACUUUACUCUAUUCACAUCAAAAUGGCGCUCUCAAAAUAAGAUGGAGUCUCAAUCCAUCUAGGUCGUACUCAAGAUCUCUCUCGGUAUUAUCUUCUUCUUCCAAAAAUCAUUCUCCUCAGGUUUCACCUCCGAGUUCUCCUUCUCAGACUCCUCCUCUUCAGCUUCUCACCGGGGUCCUGAAAUGUUUUACCCAAACUGGGAUGAGACUACGUCUCAGCGAGUUCUACCCCACUAAGCCCGAUUAGUAAACAAUUAUACUAUAGACUGCCUAAACACGCACAGGGCAGAUGACUUACCUUGGCCUCAGAUCCCACCUGCAAGUCAGUACAAUUCACAAUAGGCACCCAAGUAAUCAUAUCACAGAGUGAAGCAUCGAUCAAAUCGACCUAGUCGAUUAUAUGCCAACAAGACCACUCACAGUUAUUUCCAAUCAGUCAAUCAAUCCACAACAUCAAAUCAAAGCAAUGAUCAAUCGACUUAGUCGAUUUCAUGACAGCCUGACCAUUUCACAGUCAUUCAAGCUAUUGCUAUUCAGUCUCAAUUGAUAAAACCAAUCACCGAGUCACGUGCAUUCUCCGAGGCGAUAUCCCUUAUCACCGAGCCACGUGCAUUCUCCGAGGUGAUGGAACCGAUCAUCGAGCCAUGUGCAUUCUCCGAGGUAAUGCAUUAAUUUACCGAGCCCACGUGCCCUUUAAAAUGCCAUUCUGAAUCAGCGAGCCCACAUGCAUUCUCCAAGGCGAUGCAUCAAGUCACCGAGCCCACGUGUCUCUUAAAGAUGCCAAAUGUACUCAUUGAGACCACGUGCAUUCUCCGAGGUAAUGCAUCAAAUUACCGAGCCCACGUGUCUCUUUCAAGAUGCCACACUUAAUCACCAAGCCACAUGCAUUCUCCAAUGCGACAUACUUCGUCACCGAGCCAUGUGCAUUCUCCGAGGUGAUAUAUCUAAUCAUCAAGCCCCGUGCAUUUUCCAAGGCGACGUACUAAUUAUCGAGCCAUGUGCAUUCUCCGAAGCGAUAUACCAAAUCACCGAGCCACGUGCAUUCUCCGAGAUGAUGUACUACUCACCGAGCCACGUGCCUUUCAUGAUGAUUCAUCCCAUUUCUAAAGUAAUUAUCUACAACCUUAAUUCGUACUCAAUUUACCCAAAUAAUCAAUUUAGGAACAUAUCCUAAAUAUCCACAAUUAAAUCAAUUCAGCACAAUUCAAAGCUCAAAUAAAUAAACGGACUGCGCCACGACAAUCGGCACGAGAUUUCGGUCGUCGGCUAUCUCAAACUUAAUUUCCGAAAAAUAAUAAAUUAAUUAAUUAAUUUCGAAAAUUAAUUAAUAAACAUUAAAAAUUCCAUUUAGCUCAAAAUAAGGCCCAAUUAAAUAAACGGACUUCACCACGAUCAUCAGCAUAGUAUUCCGGUCACGGGCCAUCUCAGUUGAAUUUUCAGAAAAUAAAUAAUUAUUUAAAUUAAUUCCGAAAAUUAAUAUUUAAAUACUAAAAAUUUCACUUAGGCCCAAAAAGCCUAAUUGAAGCCCACUAAGGGUCAGGAAAAAAUCCCGAGACACUUCCAAUAAAUAGUAGACCACGUCUACUUGCUAAUUACAUAUUCAAUUUGUCUAAUUCGCAUCACAAUUAGCUAAUAAACACUAAUCCAUACUAAUCUAACCACCUAAUUGCAUUUAAUUAAAACUAAACCAACCUUAAGCAUAAUUAGCCAACUAAUCCGGAAUUAGUGAGAUUACUCACCGGAAUCGCUCGCAAAUCGGAUCAAUCCGACGGAGGCGACGCGAGGAACAACAAACUCCAAAGCGGGCCUCGGGUUCGGGAUCCGGAAACGGCCCAAAAGCGGGCCUAAAGCCGCUGGAAACCCACCGACCAGUAGCCGAUCUAGGUUGGCCGGAGCUGGUUCGGUGGCUGAGGCGACGAGGGGAGGCCGGCGGAGGGCGAGGGAAACGUCGGGGAGGUUCAGCGGUGCUGGGCGGUGGCUGGAGGCGGCUGGACGGGGCGGAACCGAGCUGAACAGGGGUCGAACAGGGCUGUCUCACGCAGGGAAGGGGCGCCUGGGCGGAGGAGAGGGCAGGCGGCGCACGGCGGCGAGCGGCGGACGCGGGGCGUGCGAGCGCGGGCGGCGGGACGUGCGGCGACGGCGAGCUGCAACGUCUGCUCUUCUUCUGUCUUCGUUCGUUGGAAUGCGCGAAAGGGGGGAGAGAGCGUGCGAAGGAGAGAGAGAGAGAGAAGAUAAGAGAGAAAAGAUGGGUUUGAAUGGUCAAAGGGAGAGGGGAAAAACAAGUGGGUGACAGCCCACUAUUCGGUAGAAAGGGGGGCCAAUUCGCACGAAGGGGAGAGGGAAAGGGGAGAGGAGAGAGAGAAAAGAGAGAAAAAGAAGAGAGAGGGAGAGAAAAGAAAUAAUAUAAAAUAUAACACC
rnacentral:lncRNA from 1 species